UACGGAGGGUGCGAGCGUUAAUCGGAAUUACUGGGCGUAAAGGGUGCGUAGGUGGAUAGAUAAGUUAGAUGUGAAAGUUCUGGGCUCAACCUAGGAAUUGCAUUUAAUACUGUUUAUCUGGAGUACAGUAGAGGGUAGUGGAAUUUCCGGUGUAGCGGUGAAAUGCGUAGAUAUCGGAAGGAACAUCGGUUGCGAAGGCGGCUACCUGGACUGAUACUGACACUGAGGCACGAAAGCGUGGGUAGCGAACAGG
rnacentral:misc_RNA from 1 species